rnacentral:rRNA from 1 species
GAUGAACGCUGGCGGCGUGCCUAAUACAUGCAAGUCGAGCGGACGGACGAGAAUCUUGCUUCUCUGAUGUUAGCGGCGGACGGGUGAGUCACACGUGGAUAACCUUCCUAUAAGGCUUAGAUAACUUCGGGAAACCGUAGCUCAUACCGGAUGAUAUUUUGAACCGCAUGGUUCAAGAGAGAAAGACGGUCUUGCUGUCACUUAUAGAUGGAUCCGCGCGGCAUUAGCUAGUUGGUGAGGUAACGGCUUACCAAGGCAGCGAUGGAUAGCCGAGCUGAGAGGGUGAAGCGGGCCACUGGGAGUGAGAGACCGUACUGACUCCGAGGGGAGGCACAAGUAGGGAAGGGAGGGAGAUGGGCGGAAGACUGACGGAGCGAUGCAAGGUGAGUGAUGAAGGGCCUCGGGUCGUAAAACGGUGUUAUGAGGGAAGAACAUAUGUGUAAGUGACGGUGCACAGCUUGACGGUACCUGAUAAGAAAGCAACGGCUAACUACGUG